UACGUAGGGUGCGAGCGUUGUCCGGAAUUAUUGGGCGUAAAGGGCUCGUAGGCGGUCUGUUGCGUCGGGAGUGAAAACUCAGGGCUUAACCCUGAGCCUGCUUCCGAUACGGGCAGACUAGAGGUAUGCAGGGGAGAACGGAAUUCCUGGUGUAGCGGUGGAAUGCGCAGAUAUCAGGAGGAACACCAAUAGCGAAGGCAGCUCGCUGGGACGGUACUGACGCUGAGGCGCGAAAGCGUGGGGAGCGAACAGG
rnacentral:rRNA from 1 species